rnacentral:rRNA from 1 species
AUGCAGGGCCAUCUGCACACCUACAGGUUCUGCGACGUGUGGACAUUCAUCCUGACGGACGCGCAGUUCAAGAACGAGGAGACGACCGAGCAGGUCGGCAAGGUGAAGAUCGUGGCCUGCGACUCCAAACUACUCAGCCAAUAA